rnacentral:rRNA from 1 species
CUACGUAGGGUGCGAGCGUUAAUCGGAAUUACUGGGCGUAAAGCGUGCGCAGGCGGUUAUGCAAGACCGGAGUGAAAAACCCGGGCUCAACCUGGGAACCGCAUUUGUGGCUGCAUAGCUAGAGGACGGGAGAGGGGGGUGGCAUUCUGCGGUGAGCAGUGGAAAGAGUAGAUAUGCGGAGGAACACCGAUGGCGAAGGCAAUCCCCUGGACCUGUACUGACGCUCAUGCACGAAAGCGUGGGGAGCAAACAGGAUUAGAUACCCUGGUAGUCCACGCCCUAAACGAUGUCAACUGGUUGUUGGGUCUUCACUGACUCAGUAACGAAGCUAACGCGUGAAGUUGACCGCCUGGGGAGUACGGCCGCAAGGUUGAAACUCAAAUGAAUUGACGGGG